rnacentral:rRNA from 1 species
AUGUGUUCUAGCUAUUUUCAUUUCAGAAAUGUAGAGCCAAGGUUAAAUUCUUUUGAGAAAUCCGAUGCUAAUAUUAUAUCUUAUCCAAAAACAUCGGAGAUAGAGUGCAAAACACAAUGCAUAGCCGAAUGGGGAUAUUCUAAAUCUGAACCAUUCGUUUGCUUACCUUCAAAGUCGUUCGUACGCCAAGAUCGGCUAGAAAACAAAAUAUAUACCUUCGAUUCAAACAUGUGUGAUCAAAUAUUUGAUUUGUUGUUGAAAAAUAAUUACAUUAGAAUUCUUGAUCACCAUGUCAAGCCAUCUAUCCAAGGACAAAUGUAUUGUAAGUUGCAUGAUUGGUUCAAGCAUAGUAUUGAGGAUUGCAACAUAUUCCGUCAAAUAGUAAACCGGCCAUUGAUAAAGGUCGAUUGA